GCCGCGGUAUUUUGACCGUGCGAAGGUAGCAUAAUCAUUAGUCUUUUAAUUGAAGGCUUGUAUGAAGGGUUGGACGAGAAAUAAGCUGUCUUUAUUGAAAAAAUAGAAUUUAACUUUUAAGUGAGAGGGCUUAAAUGUUCUAAAGGGACGAUAAGACCCUAUAAAGUUUGACAUUUUAUUCAUUAAAAAAUAAAAUAAUUAAAUUAGUUUUUAUUAGUGGGGCAAUGUUUUGUUGGGGCGAUUAGAAUAUAAAAAAUUUAACUGUUUUAUAUUAAUACAAAGUUGUUUGAGUGUUUUGAUCCUUGGUAAAGGUAUUAGAGUAAAUUACUUUAGGGAUAACAGCGUAAUUUUUUUUGAGAGUUCUUAUCGACAAAAAAGUUUGCGACCUCGAUGUUGAAUUAAAGAAUUCUUUAUAGCGCAGAAGUUAUAAAAGAAGGUCUGUUCGACCUUUAAAUCUUUACAU
rnacentral:rRNA from 1 species